rnacentral:rRNA from 1 species
GAUGAACGCUGGCGGCGUGCCUAAUACAUGCAAGUCGAGCGAACAGAUGAUGAGCUUGCUCCUCUGACGUUAGCGGCGGACGUGUGAGUAACACGUGGAUAACCUACCUAUAAGACUGGUAUAACUUCGGGAAACCGGAUCUAAUACCGUAUAAUAUAUUGAACCACAUUGUUCAAUAGUGAAAGACGGUUUUGCUGGCACUUAUAGAUGGAUCCGCGCUGCAUUAGCUAGUUGGUAAGGUAACGGCUUACCAAGGCAACGAUGCGUAGCCGACCUGAGAGGGUGAUCGGCAACACUGGAACUGAGACACGGUCCAGACUCCUACGGGAGGCAGCAGUAGGGAAUCGUCCGCAAUGGGCGAAAGCCUGACGGAGCAACGCCGAGUGAGUGAUGAAGGUCUUCGGAUCGUAAAACUCUGUUAUUAGGGAAGAACAAAUGUGUAAGUAACUAUGCACGUAUUGACGGUACCUAAUCAGAAAGCAACGGCUAACUACGUG